rnacentral:lncRNA from 1 species
GAUGUUGAUGCCUAAGAAGAACCAGAUUCCCGUUUAUGAACUCCUUUUUAAGAAGGGAGUCAUGGUGGCAAAGAAGGUUGUCCACAUGCCUAAGCACCCAGAGCUGGCAGACAAGAAGGUGCCCAACCUUCAUGUCAUGAAGGCCAUGCAGUCUCUCAAGUCCUGAGGCUGCAUGGAGGAACAGUUUGCCUGGAGACGUUUCUACUGGUACCUUCAUCUGCCCCCGGAGAUUGUGCCUGCCACCCUACACCACAGUCAUCCAGAGGCUGGCAGGCCUCGGCCUAAAGGUCUAGGGGGUGAGCAACCUGCAAGACUCACAAGAGGGGAAGCAGACAGAGAUACCUACAGGCGGAGUGCUGUGCCCCCUGAUGCCAACAAGAAAGCCGAGGCUGGGGCUGGGUCAGCAACCGAAUUCCAGUUUAGAGGCGGGUUUGGUCAUGGACGUGGUCAGCCACCUC